GGGCCGAACGUUCCAAUUCCUUCACACCAGAUUCGGAUCCUCGUAGGGACGAAGGUCCAACUCCUACAAAACCAAUAUCAGGAUGAAAGACCUAGGUUAUUGAAGGUCUUAUGAAAGAGCAGACGACGGCGCGACUCUCGCACCGGCUACGCAUCGUCAUCGUGAAUGCGACCUCGCGAGGAAUGAUUCCAAGAGCUUGCACGAGCGUCAACAGAAUCGAUGGGUCAUCCCAAAAAAGCUAGGAGUGGCGCCGGAUCCCACGAAGCGCAUCGAUGUCGCCGCGAAAUGAAACCGGAGUUGAAAGUGUAAGCGAUGAAGGCAACCUACCGGACUUGGCUGAGGCUCCAGUGGUCGUUGAAGGUGUGACCGGUGAGGGUGGAUUGAAGGGUUCGAAUGAGUUGGGGGUUGAGGAGAAGGUGACAGUUGGAGGAGUUUAUUGGUAGGUGCGUUCGUGUGAUGAAGGGUGGUUUUGGAGGUUUAUGAAUUGAAUAUUGCCGGAUUUUUUGUUAUGGAAGUUGGAGGAUGAAAAAAGGUUGGUUGAAGAUGAUGGAGAGGGUUUGGCUGGUCGUCAAAGACGGUUCCUGUUAGCAAGGCUAUGCAGUCUUUUUAGGUUCUGUUAGGGAGUGGAGAUUCGUUUGACGAGGGAGGUUCUUGGAGUAUUGGUUGAAGAGGAAUGAAGAAUUUCUAUUAGGAAUUUUUUUGAAGGUUGAGGGUGAGAGGGAUGGAGGGUGAAGUUAAGGGGUGAAGUUAAGAGGUGAAGUUAAGAGGUGAAGUCGGAGGGAGUGUCUUUGGAGAGUGGAGGGUUGUGAGCGUUUGUAGUGAAGGCUGGAGUAGUUGGUUAUGAUGGAGGAUUGAUGUUGGUUAGAGGUUGUUAGCUUCCGGUUAACAGUCGUUAUGACAGUUGGAGAAUUCGGUUAUAUUGAAAGUCGUUUGGAAGUCAGUCACAGGGACUGUUAUGGAAGGUUUUUUUUCCAUUUUGAUUUCUCGAUCCUCCCCGCUUACAUUUCUGUUUGUUGUUGUUUUCAGGAGUUCAAGGUUGGCGUAGUAUGGUUGUUGUAGGAGGUUGGUUAGGAGUAGGGGAUUGAAGAAGUUCAUUCCGUUUAUGAGGCUGGUUAGUUGGUUUUGAAGAGGAACCAAAAGGAAGUUCAGAAGUUAAGGGGUGAAGUUAAGGGGUGAAGUUAAGGGGUGAAGUUAAGGGGUGAAGUUAAGGGGUGAAGUUAAGGGGUGAAGUUAAGAGGUGAAGUUAAGAGGUGAAGUCGGAGGGAGUGUCUUUGGAGAGUGGAGGGUUGUGAGCGUUUGUAGUGAAGGCUGGAGUAGUUGGUUAUGAUGGAGGAUUGAUGUUGGUUAGAGGUUGUUAGCUUCCGGUUAACAGUCGUUAUGACAGUUGGAGAAUUCGGUUAUAUUGAAAGUCGUUUGGAAGUCAGUCACAGGGACUGUUAUGGAAGGUUUUUUUUCCAUUUUGAUUUCUCGAUCCUCCCCACUUACAUUUCUGUUUGUUGUUGUUUUCAGGAGUUCAAGGUUGGCGUAGUAUGGUUGUUGUAGGAGGUUGGUUAGGAGUAGGGGAUUGAAGAAGUUCAUUCCGUUUAUGAGGCUGGUUAGUUGGUUUUGAAGAGGAACCAAAAGGAAGUUCAGUUUCGUUGGGUUAGGCUUUUACUGUAGAAAAUGCAAGGCUUGAAUCAUGUUUGAACUUUUGUGCAAGUUGAAUGCUACGACGGAAUGAAAUUUGGAUUGGCUCAAUUUGGUUUGCAUUGCUUGGAACUGGAUGCAAGGAUUGCUUGAUGGACAUUUUCUCCUGGCGAUUUGAAAUAAGCUUUGUAGGGUUUACGGUUAGGAUUGAGUGUAACUUAGGUCAUACAGUUUCAUGUUAUGUAUGGCGAGUGACCAUUGAAACGUUUGGUUUUCUUUGAAUGCAUAAGUUGAUUUAAAAUUGCAAUUUGAAUGGCAUGUUUGUAAUUGGAUUUUGGUUGUGAUUGUAUGAUGUAAAAAAUGAAAUCGGAAAUUUGGAAUUUGGAAUUA